rnacentral:rRNA from 1 species
UCCUCCCUCUGGCGGCGUGCUUAACACAUGCAAGUCGAACGGAAAGGCCCCCUUGUGGGGUACUCGAGUGGCGAACGGGUGAGUAACACGUGAGUAACCUACCCUUGACUUUGGGAUAACUUCAGGAAACUGGGGCUAAUACCGGAUAGGAGCUCCUGCUGCAUGGUGGGGGUUGGAAAGUUUCGGCGGUUGGGGAUGGACUCGCGGCUUAUCAGCUUGUUGGUGGGGUAGUGGCUCACCAAGGCUUUGACGGGUAGCCGGCCUGAGAGGGUGACCGGCCACAUUGGGACUGAGAUACGGCCCAGACUCCUACGGGAGGCAGCAGUGGGGAAUAUUGCACAAUGGGCGGAAGCCUGAUGCAGCAACGCCGCGUGCGGGAUGACGGCCUUCGGGUUGUAAACCGCUUUCGCCUGUGACGAAGCGUGAGUGACGGUAAUGGGUAAAGAAGCACCGGCUAACUACGUG